AUUAAACGUAACUAUGGAGUCUUUAUCCGCGGCGAUAUUACUGGUUGAGGAGGAGAGCAGCGCACCUCAGAAUGCUGGGGUGAGAAUUGAGAGAAGAUUACGAGAUAUGUGCGAUCCUUCCAGAUGAAUGACGAGCUAUUCAAAAAAACUUUCGUCUGAAUAAGGACGCAUUCAAGUAUGUCCUAGAU